GGAGGGGGAUACACUCGGAACGAAUGCUAAUACCCCAUAUGCUUUUGAGUGAAAUGGAUUUAUCCGCCUAAAGAGAAGCUCGCGGCUGAUUAGCUUGUUGGUAAGGUAAGAGCUUACCAAGGCGACGAUCAGUAUCUGGUUUGAGAGGACGAUCAGACACACUGGAACUGAGACACGGUCCAGACUCCUACGGGAGGCAGCAGUGGGGAAUUUUCCGCAAUGGGCGAAAGCCUGACGGAGCAAUACCGCGUGAGGGAAGACUGCCUAUGGGUUGUAAACCUCUUUUUUCAGGGAGGAAUAAAAUGACGUGUACCUGAAGAAUAAGCAUCGGCUAACUCCGUGCCAGCAGCCGCGGUAAGACGGAGGAUGCAAGUGUUAUCCGGAAUCACUGGGCGUAAAGCGUCUGUAGGUGGUUUAAUAAGUCAACUGUUAAAUCUUGAGGCUCAACUUCAAAAUCGCAGUCGAAACUAUUAGACUAGAGUAUAGUAGAGGUAAAGGGAAUUUCCAGUGGAGCGGUGAAAUGCGUAGAUAUUGGAAAGAACACCGAUGGCGAAAGCACUUUACUGGGCUAUUACUAACACUCAGAGACGAAAGCUAGGGUAGC
rnacentral:rRNA from 1 species